UAGGGAAUCUUCCGCAAUGGGCGAAAGCCUGACGGAGCAACGCCGCGUGAGUGAUGAAGGUCUUCGGAUCGUAAAACUCUGUUAUUAGGGAAGAACAAAUGUGUAACUAACUAUGCACGUCUUUACGGUACCUAAUCAGAAAGCCACGGCUAACUACGUGCCAGCAGCCGCGGUAAUACGUAGGUGGCAAGCGUUAUCCGGAAUUAUUGGGCGUAAAGCGCGCGUAGGCGGUUUUUUAAGUCUGAUGUGAAAGCCCACGGCUCAACCGUGUAGGGUCAUUGGAAACUGGAAAACUUGAGUGCAGAAGAGGAAAGUGGAAUUCCAUGUGUAGCGAUGAAAUGCGCAGAGAUAUGGAGGAACACCAGUGGCGAAGGCGACUUUCUGGUCUGUAACUGACGCUGAUGUGCGAAAGCGUGGGGAUCAAACAGG
rnacentral:rRNA from 1 species